rnacentral:rRNA from 1 species
GGGUGCGUAGGUGGGUAGGUAAGUCAGCGGUGAAAUCCCCGAGCUUAACUUGGGAACUGCCAUUGAUACUAUCUGUCUUGAAUACCUUGGAGGUGAGCGGAAUAUGUCAUGUAGCGGUGAAAUGCUUAGAUAUGACAUAGAACACCAAUUGCGAAGGCAGCUCACUACACGGUCAUUGACACUGAGGCACGAAAGCGUGGGGAUCAAACAGGAUUAGAUACCCUGGUAGUCCACGCCCUAAACGAUGGAUACUCGACAUCAGCGAUACACUGUUGGUGUCUGAGCGAAAGCAUUAAGUAUCCCACCUGGGAAGUACGACCGCAAGGUUGAAACUCAAAGGAAUUGG